GAUGAAGAACGCAGUGAAAUGCGAUAAGUAAUGUGAAUUGCAGAAUUCAGUGAAUCAUCGAAUCUUUGAACGCACAUUGCGCCCGCCAGUAUUCUGGCGGGCAUGCCUGUCUGAGCGUCAUUUCAACCCUCAUGCCCCUAGGGCGUGGUGUUGGGGAUCGGCCAAAGCCCGCGAGGGACGGCCGGCCCCUAAAUCUAGUGGCGGACCCGUCGUGGCCUCCUCUGCGAAGUAGUGAUAUUCCGCAUCGGAGAGCGACGAGCCCCUGCCGUUAAACCCCCAACUUUCCAAGGUUGACCUCAGAUCAGGUAGGAAUACCCGCUGAACUUAAGCAUAUCAAUAAGCGGAGGA
rnacentral:misc_RNA from 1 species